GCAUGAGAUAACGUGUUUUUAUUUUUACGAAAUGGUAAUAUAGCUAUGCAAGUGUUUUCAUUAAAAGAACACAAACUAAUAAAAGUUAUGGGAUAAAAAAUUAUGGGACAAAAAAUGUGGAAAAGUUGUGG